rnacentral:lncRNA from 1 species
CACAUACUAUGUUAUAAUUGACUCAUUACGAUAUAUGUAAUGUGACAUUGCGCUAGAAAACAAAGAAAAUAUUCUUGCAUUUACGACACAUAAUACAAUCUCUCAGUAAUUUCAAAUGGAGCCUAAUAAAUCAUGACGAGCAUGACAUAGACUCACACUUGAGAUAUAGGGCCCAUUUGGAAUUUUAAAAUUAAAUUUGAAAUUUAAAAUUUUAAAAUCUAAAAUUUGAGAUUUGAAAUUUAAAAUUAAAAUUUAAAAUUUAAAGUUCGAAAUGGAUUUGUCAAAUUUUAAAAUUUAAAAGUUAAAAUUUAAAAAUUCGAAAAUGAAUCUGAAAAUUUAAAUUUAAAAUUAAAUUUAAAUUUAAAUAUUAAAUUUAAAAUUAAAAUAAAAAUUUGAAAUUUGAGCCCAAACUCACAAUUAGAUUUCAAGAAGCAGCUUUUUUCUACUUCUGAUUCUCGGGCCUUCAAAAUCAGUUUUAUAAUUCUGAAAAGCAGAAUCAGAUUCUAAAAAUGUGGUUGCCAAACGCUCUAUUGAGCCGAAAAUCACUUUUCAACUCAAAAACGCUUUUUAAAAUCUAGGCCAAACACCCCCAUAAAUCUACGGUCCAGCAGUUCCAUCUG